AUGUCGUCUUCCUCCCCGUCCUCGUCGGACCAGAGCGGGAACCCUAGCCCCUCGCCGCCGGCGCCGGCGGGGGUCCGGCCGGGAGCGGGGCCGGCGGCGUGGCCCAGGCGACGCUGCCGCGACGUCUUCUGGCUGGUCGUCUUCCUCCUCCACCUGCUCGUCUUCGGCGGGGCGCUCGCGCUCGCCGGCCUCAACCGUUUCCGCGUAGCCGACCGCUUCAACAUCGACCGCUACGCCAACCACACCGCCGCCCCGCCAUCCGCCGCAGUCGCGCCGCCGGGGUCGGAUGUCGGCGUGUCCAAGGAGAAGGCGCUGCCCCCCGAGCUGACGGAGACGUACUGGAAGUACUACGGCGCUGCGGGGGCGGUGGGGACGCUGCUCGCGUGGUCCUGGCUGGCGGCGGCGGCCGGGAAGAAGGACGGGGGCAGGGUGCUCAUGCGGGCCGCCGUGCACAGCCUCACGGCGUACCUUGCCGUCAUCAGCGUGCUCUGCUUCUGGGGAAACCACUCCUUCUGGGGCGUGGCGCUCGCUGUAGGCGCUGCGCUCCACUUCCUCUACGUCAUGUCAGUGAUUGAUAGAUUUCCAUUUACAAUGCUAGUACUGCAAAAGGCAAUAAAGAUGGUCUGGGAACUUCCAGAUGUGAUGAGAGUAGCAUAUGCAUUUGUACUGGUAAUGCUUUGUUGGAUGGCAUUAUGGUCCUUUGGAGUUUCUGGCAUUGUUGCUAUGCCCAUACCGAAUUGUGGGCAAUGGUGGCUUGUUCUGGCUUUAUCAGUCAGUUUGUUUUGGACUGGAGCUGUCCUUAGUAAUACAGUCCAUGUCAUAGUAUCAGGAAUGGUGUUCCUUGUUCUCAUUCAUGGUGGACAAGCUGCUGCGUCGAUGCCCCCCAAACCACUUCUAAAGUCACUUCAGUAUGCUGUUACAACUUCUUUUGGAAGCAUUUGCUAUGGAUCACUCUUUACGGCUGCCAUUAGGACUUUACGUUGGGAGAUUAGAGGAGUUCGUUCUAAAAUUGGCAACAACGAGUGUCUUCUGUGCUGUGUUGAUUUUUUCUUUCAUAUUGUGGAGACGCUUGUUCGUUUCUUCAACAAAUAUGCAUAUGUACAGAUAGCUGUCAACGGACAGAGUUUCAAUCGUUCAGCUAGGGAUGCUUGGGAGCUGUUCCAGUCGACUGGCAUUGAAGCACUUAUUGCUUAUGAUUGUUCUGGUGCUGUUCUUUUGAUGAACACAAUAUUAGGUGGGUUAAUUACAGGAACUUGUACUGGUGUUUGGACAUAUUUCACACAACGUGAUAAAGCAAUUAUGGUUGGCUCGACCUCUAUGCUGAUUGGCAUGAUACUGGUUGGGCUAACUGUCGUGGUUGUUGAAAGCGCAGUUACAUCAAUAUACAUAUGCUAUGCUGAGGACCCUCUUCUAAUUCAGAGAUGGGAUCCUGAAUUUUUUGAGCAAAUGUCAGAAGCACUGCACCAGCGACUGCAGUACCGAAGCUCCAGAGCCCGCCAAAUACUGAACGGUCGGCUUGAUCAUUUGCCAAAUACAUCAAGUAUUUGA
rnacentral:rRNA from 1 species